rfam:Hydatigera taeniaeformis genome assembly, scaffold: TTAC_scaffold0005158
AUAAGAUAACAUCAAGACACCAUUCUUUUUUGUUUGGCAGGAAUGAUGGUAGGCGCACUGUGUGCAAUUACGGGAGUGUUGACUAUCGCUCUGCCCGUUCCCGUCAUUGUUUCCAAC